rnacentral:rRNA from 1 species
GCUGAAGUCAGGCAUGCCUAUCACAUGCAAGUCGAACGAGACCUUCGGGUCUAGUGGCGCACGGGUGCGUAACGCGUGGGAAUCUGCCCUUGGGUGCGGAAUAACUCGGAGAAAUCCGUGCUAAUACCGUAUAAUGACUUCGGUCCAAAGGUUUAUCGCCCAAGGAUGAGCCCGCGUAGGAUUAGCUAGUUGGUGGGGUAAAAGCCUACCAAGGCGACGAUCCUUAGCUGGUCUGAGAGGAUGAUCAGCCACACUGGGACUGAGACACGGCCCAGACUCCUACGGGAGGCAGCAGUGGGGAAUAUUGGACAAUGGGCGAAAGCCUGAUCCAGCAAUGCCGCGUGAGUGAUGAAGGCCCUAGGGUUGUAAAGCUCUUUUACCCGGGAUGAUAAUGACAGUACCGGGAGAAUAAGCUCCGGCUAACUCCGUGCCAGCAGCCGCGGUAAUACGGAGGGAGCUAGCGUUGUUCGGAAUUACUGGGGCGUAAAGCGCGCGUAGGCGGUUUUUUUAAGUCAGAGGUGAAAGCCCGGGGCUCAACCCCGGAAUAGCCUUUGAAACUGGAAGACUUGAAUCUUGAGAGGUCAGUGGAAUUCCGAGUGUAGAGGUGAAAUUCGUAGAUAUUCGGGAGACACCAGUGGCGAAGGCGACUGACUGGACAAGUAUUGACGCUGAGGUGCGAAAGCGUGGAGCAAACAGGAUUAGAUACCCUGGUAGUCACGCAGUAACGAUGAUACUAGCUGUCGGGAUUCAUGUACUUGGGUUGCGCAGCUAACGCAUUAAGGUAUCCGCCUGGGG